CAGCAGCCGCGGUAAUACGAAGGGGACUAGCGUUGCUCGGAAUUACUGGGCGUAAAGGGCGCGUAGGCGGACAGCUUAGUCAGAGGUGAAAGCCCAGGGCUCAACCUUGGAACUGCCUUUGAUACUGGCUGUCUUGAGUUCGGGAGAGGUGAGUGGAACGCCGAGUGUAGGGGUGAAAUUCGUAGAUAUUCGGAGGAACACCAGUGGCGAAGGCGGCUCACUGGUCCAUUACUGACGCUGAGGUGCGAAAGCGUGGGGAGCAAACAGGAUUAGAGACCCCGGUAGUCCCUGUCUCUUAUAC
rnacentral:rRNA from 1 species